GCCUAUGGCCACACCACCCUGAAAAUGCUCGAUCUCAUCUGAUCUCGGAANCUAAGCAUGGUCGGGCUCAGCUAGUACCUGGUGUGGAGGAUGACAGCUGAAGUAC
rnacentral:rRNA from 1 species